UACGAAGGGGGCUAGCGUUGCUCGGAAUUACUGGGCGUAAGGGGCGCAUAGGCGGAUAGUUUAGUUGGGGGUGAAAGCCCGGGGCCCAACCUCGGAAUUGCCUUCAAUACUGGCUGUCUUGAGUGUGAGAGAGGUGUGUGGAACUCCGAGUGUAGAGGUGAAAUUCGUAGAUAUUCGGAAGAACACCAGUGGCGAAGGCGACACACUGGCUCACUACUGACGCUGAGGCGCGAAAGCGUGGGGAGCAAACAGG
rnacentral:rRNA from 1 species